rnacentral:rRNA from 1 species
GACUAUGGCCAUGCCACCCUGAACAAGCCUGAGGUCUGAUCUCAGAAGCUAAGCAGGGUUGAGCCUGUUUAGUACUUGGAUAGGAGACCACCUAGGAAGACCUGUAGGCAUAAAUA